rnacentral:rRNA from 1 species
AUCCAAGGAAGGCAGCAGGCGCGCAAAUUACCCACUCCCGGCACGGGGAGGUAGUGACGAAAAAUAACAAUACGGGACUCUUUUGAGACCCCGUAAUUGGAAUGAGUACACUCUAAAUCCUUUAACCAUGAUCUAUUGGAGGGCAAGUCUGGUGCCAGCAGCCGCGGUAAUUCCAGCUCCAAUAGCGUAUAUUAAAGUUGUUGCGGUUAAAAAGCUCGUAGUUGGAUCUCAGUUCCAGACGGGCGGUCCGCCUAACGGUGGUUACUGCCUGGCCUGAACAGCCAGCCGGUUUCCCUCGAUGAUCUUCACCGGUUGUCCCGGGUGACCGGCACGUUUACUUUGAAAAAAUUAGAGUGCUCAAAGCAGGCGCGUAGCCUGGAUAAUGGUGCAUGGAAUAAUGGAAUAGGACUUCGUUUCUAUUUUGUUGGUUUUCGGAACACGAGGUAAUGAUUAAGAGGGACAGACGGGGGCAUUCGUAUUGCGACGCUAGAGGUGAAAUUCUUGGACCGUCGCAAGACGAACUACUGCGAAAGCAUUUGCCAAGAAUGUUUUCAUUAAUCAAGAACGAAAGUUAGAGGUUCGAAGGCGAUCAGAUACCGCCCUAGUUCUAACCAUAAACGAUGCCAACCAGCGAUCCGCCUGAGUUCCUCAAAUGACUCGGCGGGCAGCUUACGGGAAACCAAAGUGUUUGGGUUCCGGGGGAAGUAUGGUUGCAAAGCUGAAACUUAAAGGAAUUGACGGAAGGGCACUACCAGAUGUGGAGCCUGCGGUUUAAUUUGACUCAACACGGGGCAACUUACCCGGCCCGGACACUGGAAGGAUUGACAGAUUAAGAGCUCUUUCUUGAUUCAGUGGGUGGUGGUGCAUGGCCGUUCGUAGUUGGUGAAGCGAUUUGUCUGGUUAAUUCCGAUAACGAGCGAGACUCUAGCCUACUAAAUAGGCGUCCCGAUCUCUUUCGUCGGGCGUUCUUCUUAGAGGGACAAGUGGCGUUUAGCCGCACGAGACAGAGCAAUAACAGGUCUGUUAUGCCCUUAGAUGUCCGGGGCCGCACGCGCGCUACACUGAAGGAAUCAGCGUGUGCUUUCCCUGUCCGGUAGGACUGGGUAACCCGUUGAACCUCCUUCGUGAUAGGGAUAGGGGCUUGCAAUUAUUCCCCUUGAACGAGGAAUACCCAGUAAGCACGAGUCAUCAGCUCGUGUUGAUUACGUCCCUGCCCUUUGUACACACCGCCCGUCGCUACUACCGAUUGAAUGAUUUAGUGAGGUCUUCGGACUGGCGCUCGGAGCGGCUGCAAGGUCGCGCCGGCGUGCCGGAAAGAUGACCAAACUUGAUUAUUUAGAGGAAGUAAA